AUUCAUGGAGAGAACAAAGCUCAUAUAAGCCUUGAAUUUGGCAAGGCGUUUCUACCUAAGACCUAAUCUUAGACUAUGAGAUUAACCAUUUUGCUG
rnacentral:ncRNA from 2 species